UACAGGGGGGGGCAAGCGUUGUUCGGAAUUACUGGGCGUAAAGGGCCAGUAGGCGGCCAACUAAGUCACACGUGAAAUCCCCAGGCUUAACCUGGGAACUGCGUCUGAUACUGGAUGGCUUGAGUUCGGGAGAGGGAUGCGGAAUUCCAGGUGUAGCGGUGAAAUGCGUAGAUAUCUGGAGGAACACCGGUGGCGAAGGCGGCAUCCUGGACCGAUACUGACGCUGAGGAGCGAAAGCCAGGGGAGCAAACGGG
rnacentral:rRNA from 1 species